GACGAAGGGGGCUAGCGUUGUUCGGAAUCACUGGGCGUAAAGGGCGCGUAGGCGGCCCUCUUUGUCGCGUGUGAAAGUCCAGGGCUCAACCCUGGGAUGCCGGUGGAUACUGUCGGGCUCGAGUCCGGAAGAGGAGAGUGGAAUUCCCGGUGUAGCGGGUGAAAUGCGCAGAUAUCGGGGAAGAACACCCGUGGCGAAGGCGGCUCUCUGGGACGGUACUGACGCUGAGACGCGAAAGCGUGGGGAGCGAACAGG
rnacentral:rRNA from 1 species